GCCCCGCGCCGCCACGCUUACCACGCCCACCACCAUGCUCACCUGGGGACAGUCACACGUCACAAACCAUGAACUACCGGGAAAUUUAACUGUGUGGGGUUCAAGGGGUUGUAUAGUUGUCAAGUUAUAUCAUCGUCAUCAUCAGCAACAGCCAAUCCAUUGCUGACCUCAUUCAAGAUGCAAUAAAGCUCUGCCGAUUCUCCGCCUUCUGCAGCGUCAGGCCAAAAUUUGUCCACGUGGCUGGAGGGCAAAAAACGUCGGUACCAGUUACAGUGAUUGUCGAAAUGACAUAAACGUAUUUUGUUUGCAUUUUACACAUGUUUACGUAUUGUAUUAAAAUACUGUCAUUACGUGA